UACGGGGGGGGGCAAGCGUUGUUCGGAAUUACUGGGCGUAAAGGGCUCGUAGGCGGCCAACUAAGUCCGACGUGAAAUCCCAAGGCUUAACCUUGGAACUGCGUCGGAUACUGGAUGGCUUGAAUUCGGGAGAGGGAUGCAGAAUUCCAGGUGUAGCGGUGAAAUGCGUAGAUAUCAUGAGGAAUACCAGAGGCGAAGGCGGCUACCUGGACAAUUGCUGACGCUCAGGCACGAAAGCGUGGGGAGCAAAAGGG
rnacentral:rRNA from 1 species